AAGUGAGAAGCAAUUUUGCAUUUAAUUUCGACUUAAAAGAAAGGGUUUUCAAACCCCUCACUUA
rnacentral:tRNA from 1 species